GACACGGCAAUUAAGUUACGAACAAUUUAAAACAAAAAUUGGAAUCAGCCGAAAGAUAUUUCGGCAAUCCUAGUCAUUGCAACAACGCUUAAAGUUUCGCACCACGCCCUCCGUCCAAAAUGAACAGCGAUAUAACAUUGCUUCUGCUGCUUGGACAUCUAAAAAAAAUUCAGAUACAUUAAGUGACUGAAGUCACCAAAAGUGACAAUUGUCACGGAAAAUAGGGACUCUGAGAGUCACUUUUUGUGACGCUAGUCACCGUGACUCGCAAAAAAUGUGACGAAAUAGUCACCUUCCAAAAUAUUGGUGACUAGAACAAAAAGUGAUUUAUUUUUGGCAAUAUUGUGGGAUGAGUAAUGUUUGCUGUGGGAAAAAUAUUUGGACAGUUCAUUCUUCUAGUAAAUAUUUUGUUUUUGGGGAGUUACACCAAUAAAGCAAUAAAGAAAUGAAUCGAGAUCCUGUAAUGGAAUUUAUUACACUAAUUGUGCAGAACAAAAAAAACCGCAACACGGUAGUCCCAAAGCUAAUUAAGACGGCCUCUUAAAAAAAACUAUUUUGGUUAAAUUUUUAGACAAUUUCUUUAAAUUAUAGCAGAAGCUAAAAAUAGUUUAAAUUUACGCAGAAUUAAUGGUUGAAUUUUACAACACUUAAGUGCAGCUAAAGAAAAUGGUUAAAAAUGAACCAUAUGGUUGAACGAAAUGACAGUCGCAGUGAGUUUUAUUGUUGGUGGAUAAGUUCUGAUUUUUCUCCAUCGUUGAGAUGGGUCAGCAAAGUUGAACACGCAAAGAAUCUACUACCGAUACAUUAAGGUUGAAAGACUAGUGCACCAGGGGAAGGUGCUACUAUUUUGCGGUUAGCUUGUAAGUGCAUCUUAAUAACUUUAAAUCUUAGGUGUAACUCAGAGACAUGUCCAAAUAUUGAUGCCCAAUUGAUCACCGUCAUUAAAUUUGAGGCAGAAGAAAACUUAUUCAUUGCUUCCAGAAGGGAAUCAGCUUACUGGAAAGGGAAUAGGCAUAACGUCGUUGCUUAACCGACAUUGCCAAACAACUACCAAAGAAACGCCGCGAGGUCGUGAUCGCCAUUCUGACGUCCAAGAGAAUCGAAUAGUUGCUGGAAGAGUUCUACCCGGUGACAGAAAACUUGUGCAAUUACAAAAUAUACUGUAGCGUUGUACAUAUAAUAUUUAAGAAUUAAAAUAAGCAUUACCAUGAAGUACCAAAAAUAUUGGAGAAUAGCCCCUCGGCCAUUCAGGCAGUACAACAUAAAAUACUGCUCUUUUCUCUCGUUCUCAUCCAGAGAGUGAGUGGGGUGAACCUAGAAGCUAGGGCUCUGCGCUUCGAGAGCUCAUACGUGCACGCGCCUAGCAAUCUCGUCGGUGGUUGGAAUCUCAUUUAGCGGGUGGUUGCGACGUCGGCGUCGCGCCCUUUGAUUUGAGUACGUACAGUGCAUGUACAUUGCAAGUACUUUGUCGCGGGGAACAAAAAGAGACAGCGAACUGAGGGCAAAGGUUGUUUCUGACUUCGGGAAAAAGACAACCCGAUUUUACCUGAACUUCUGAGGUUGAAAGUCAAUGCCCUAGAAAUGGUUUAAGGAGGUUUUGUAUCGGGAAUGAAAGGACGACUUCGGCACAAAAUUUGUGGUGGGAAACUAUUGCACUUCGUGAAAUAGUUAACCAUAGUUAACCAUUGUUCAAAUAGUUGUGCCGCGGUGUAGGACUUAAGGUAGUUUUUUAAAACAGCGUGAGAUUCUUUUAAUUAGUUUCACUAAGAAAUUUUCCUUUUCCUGUGCAGAAUUAGCUAGGUCGAAAAGUGAGUGCGCAAGUUCAUUCGCACGGUUUCGGAGUGCUAAAAGUAGAUCGACGAAUUAAGGUAAAUUCCCGUAUUUUUGGCUUUUUGUGUGCAAGUGCGUAUUCUCAUACCAACCGAAUGUUGGCAUUAUUUUCACAUAUAGGCAAUUUGUGAUCAAGAUCCCGCCACACCGCAUUCGUAGCCAGAGACGCUUCUGACCCCACCAUCCAGCUUCAAAGAACCCGGUAGUUCGAUCCACGUGCCGGAAGAGCAGCGAGGCUGCUAGGCAGGGAAGCCAUCAACGAGCCGUCAGCAAUAUAACGACGAAGGAAAAACCAUCUUCAGUUCAGAAUCGCCAGCAGACCGUUGGGCAGUGUCAACGUUCCGGCCAGCAUCAGUUCCGGUCCCCGGAAACCGCCAACAAUCACGCCUCACGUAAAUCGAUGUUGUAAGUACGUUCCAUAUUUUUAUUACAUGCGCAUGUUAGGGAACAGUACACAACACACGCUAAGACCCUAGGGCCACGAAAUGUGAAAAGGGAAUACGCACACAAAAGCCACUCAAUGAACACGGUACCGAUACGGUACCGAUAAGCUGCACAGGGUAGAGCACUAAAUGAAAGCGACGAAUCGAGCAGGAAAUUAGCCGAGACCGCAAAGGCGGUGAUGAGAGUUAGCUAGGUUGAGAGAGUAUGGGUUCGAAUCCGGAUGUGGAAAGUGUUUUGAAUUAUUUUUUUUUGUCGGAAUAAACGUUGAAGUGAGCUGAAGUCGAUUUGAAUAUCCUAGUAAAGGUGUAUUUUUUUAGUGGUUCUGGUGAAGGUUUUCUCACGCUGUUCGGAUCGAUAGUUUUUCCUUUUUUUGCGGAUUGGGUUGACCCUUAUGUUUCAGUCUCCUCUCCCACCUCUGAAGCGAACAGCGCGAAAGAUACACACAGAAUUGUGCCCGUGAUGAUAAUUUAGCGGAAUGCUCUUCUUGCCGACCGAUGUUGACUUGAAAUUCUGGGUAUGAAGUUUCUGGUGGCUUUUUUGAAUGUAUUGGUGGCCUUCUGAAGUUGUUUGGGGAAAGUCGGAUUGUUUUGGAACCGUUUCAGAAACAACCAAAACCCCCCUUUGGAUAGGGUCUCUAGCUGGGCAAGCCACCAAGGUGAAUAGUCUCCUAUGGGAGUGGCGCGAAAAUCAUUCACUAGUUAAAUGAAGG